rnacentral:lncRNA from 1 species
UUCUUCUCUCUUCAACCCACUCCAGCAUGGGCAACAAGCACACCCAAGUUGCUAAAUCCAAUGGUUGAUGUUCAGUCCUGAGGUAAUUUGACCUUGCAGCAUCUUUUUGAGUCUGUGGGUCAUGCUGUCCAUGUCACACAAUUUACUCCCUUGGCUUUUAUGACCUCCUCACACUUGCUUGGUUUUCGGUCUACUUCAUUGGCUCUUUCUUUGGCUGGAUCUUUAUGUUCCCAACUAGAACCCGUUGCAUAAUUUGCAGGGUGCAGUGCAGAAUGAAAAUGCAGGGCUCUUAUUCAAAAAUUAUUAAAAGUUUCAAGAUAGUGAGAGCAGAGCACUCAACAAAGCAUGGGGCCCUUCUGAGCAAGAGGUCUUGCGUGAUUGCAAAGAUCUUGUGCCCAUGAAGCCCUGUUCCCAUCCUCAGAAUGCAGCAAAGCACCUGCUCAGUGCUCAUCUAUAAAUGAUCUUGUCCAACCCAAUUGGCUUUAGAUGCCACAUUCAGCAACAAGCUUCACAUCUUACCUUCAACACCAAUCUCUCCAUUUUACUUCAGAUUCAAAUAUUCAACUAUCUAUUCUCCAUGUGCACUGAAUAUAUGAAAUGCACUCAAACUUAAUAUGUCCAAAAUGGAACUUUCAUUUCCCACCCAAAUUCUUCCCAUAGUUUUCCCCAUGUCAAUAAAUACCAACUCCAUUUUUCCAGUUAUUCAGGCCAAAAUCAUUAUAGCCAUCCUGAACUUCGCACUUUUCUCUCACAUUCUACAUUCAAUCCACCAAAUCCUGCAAGCUCUACCUUCAAAAUAUUUCCUAAAUCCGACCAGUCACGACCUUCACCACUUGCAACCCCGGUACAACUUUCUGUCCUGAGUCACCUAGUCUUCUAGUGUCAUAGGCCUCUUGGCUUUCACUUCUGCCCUUCACAGUCUAUUUGCCACACAGCCAUCAGUUAUCUUUUUAAAAUGUAAGUCAUAGUUUGUCACUUUCAAAUCGCAAAGUUGAAACCUUUGAAUGCCUUCCAACCUCACUCAUAAUUUUUUGUUAAGUCUUCAAAAUAUGGCCUAAAAAACUCUAUGUAGCCAGCUUCUGGCUACCUCUCCACCCUCAGCUCCUAUCACUACCCCCUCAGUCACUUCAUCAGCCACAUUGGCUUUCUUGCUGCUCCUCACUUUCCUUUGCACUGUGGUUUUCUCUGUCUGGAACACUCUUCACUCAGAUAUUUAAAUGACUCGCUUUCUCAAUUCAAUCAGACUUCAAUUUACAGGGCACCUCCUCAGAAAGCCUUCUGUACUGAACAUAAAUCUCAGCUUCCCUUGACUGUUUCCUUUGUUUAAAAGGUGGCACCCCUCUCCUGAACGAGGACCAUGCCACACCACUGCCAUCUUUGUUGAGUCCCCAGAACUGUCAGUAAUCUGCAAAAGUCCCAUUAGUUCCAAGUCUCCACUCACUUCUGAUGAAAUGUCCCAUAACAGAGAAUGCGAUCUGCCUUCCUGGUCCACCGUCUAAAAGCCCAACAAUGUUUUCCUAAAGAACAGGGCAUUCGCUCUUCAUGAGCAAUAGAAAACAGGAGCCACAAAGAGCCAAGCAGCAAAGGGCAGAGAAUAGAUCUAGAUAGAUGAUGAAGAAUAACCAGUAUACACUCUCUGUCCUCUUAAUCUGUUUUGUUGCAGACUGAUGUUUUACUCUAUGUCUAUGCAUAUGCACAUAUGCAUGUACGUAUACAUGCGUGCAACUUGAUGGCAAAGAUCCCAUCUUGUAUGUUCCUUGUCAUAUCACCAGCUCCUACGGCAGUAACUGUCACAUAGUAAAUAUUCAGCAAAUAUUCUUUUGAGAGAACGAAUGAAGAUGCAAUACUAUUAAAUACAUUCACAAUUUC